rnacentral:rRNA from 1 species
UGGGGAAUUUUCCGCAAUGGGCGAAAGCCUGACGGAGCAACGCCGCGUGAAGGACGAAGGUUUUCGGAUCGUAAACUUCUGAACGAGGGACGAACAAUGACGGUACCUCGCUAAAAGCACCGGCUAACUCCGUGCCAGCAGCCGCGGUAAUACGGAGGGUGCAAGCGUUAUCCGGAAUCACUGGGCGUAAAGGGCACGUAGGCGGUCUUCUAAGUCCGAUGUUAAAGCGUGGGGCUCAACCCCAUCACGGCGUUGGAUACUGGUAGGCUUGACGACUGGAGAGGUGAGUAGAAUUACCAGUGUAGCGGUGGAAUGCGUAGAUACUGGUAGGAAUACCCAUUGCGAAGGCAGCUCACUGGACAGUACGUGACGCUGAGGUGCGAAAGUGUGGGGAGCAAACCGGAUUAGAUACCCGUGUAGUCC